rnacentral:tRNA from 1 species
GACUUCGUGGUGUAGUGGUCAGCACGCUGGGCGCGUAUUCCAGAGGUCCGUGGUUCGAGUCUCGGCUAAGACU